UACGGGGGGGGCAAGCGUUGUUCGGAAUUACUGGGCGUAAAGGGUUCGUAGGUGGCCAAUUAAGUCAGACGUGAAAUCCCUCAGCUUAACUGGGGAACUGCGUCUGAGACUGGAUGGCUUGAGCGCAGGAGAGGAACGCGGAAUUCCAGGUGUAGCGGUGAAAUGCGUAGAUAUCUGGAGGAACACCGGUGGCGAAGGCGGCGUUCUGGACUGCAACUGACACUGAGGAACGAAAGCCAGGGGAGCAAACGGG
rnacentral:rRNA from 1 species